UACGUAGGGUGCAAGCGUUGUCCGGAAUUAUUGGGCGUAAAGAGCUCGUAGGCGGCCUGUCGCGUCGGCUGUGAAAACCCGGGGCUCAACCCCGGGCCUGCAGUCGAUACGGGCAGGCUAGAGUCCGGCAGGGGAGACUGGAAUUCCUGGUGUAGCGGUGAAAUGCGCAGAUAUCAGGAAGAACACCCGUGGCGAAGGCGGCUCUCUGGUACGUGACUGACGCUGAGACGCGAAAGCGUAGGGAGCGAACAGG
rnacentral:rRNA from 1 species